rnacentral:rRNA from 1 species
UUGAGCUGGGGGUGGCCGCAGAGACCAGCGAGAAGCGACUGUUUACUAAAAACACAGGUCCGUGCGAAGCCGUAAGGCGAUGUAUACGGACUGACGCCUGCCCGGUGCUGGAACGUUAAGGGGACCGGUUAGCUCACUUUCGGGUGGGCGAAGCUGAGAACUUAAGCGCCAGUAAACGGCGGUGGUAACUAUAACCAUCCUAAGGUAGCGAAAUUCCUUGUCGGGUAAGUUCCGACCUGCACGAAUGGCGUAACGACUUCUCGACUGUCUCAACCAUAGGCCCGGUGAAAUUGCACUACGAGUAAAGAUGCUCGUUUCGCGCAGCAGGACGGAAAGACCCCGGGACCUUUACUACAGUUUGAUAUUGGUGUUCGGUUCGGCUUGUGUAGGAUAGGUGGGAGACUUUGAAGCGGGCACGCCAGUGUUCGUGGAGUCGUCGUUGAAAUACCACUCUGGUCGUGCUGGAUGUCUAACCUGGGUCCGUGAUCCGGAUCAGGGACAGUGUCUGAUGGGUAGUUUAACUGGGGCGGUUGCCUCCCAAAGGGUAACGGAGGCGCCCAAAGGUUCCCUCAGCCUGGUUGGCAAUCAGGUGUUGAGUGUAAGUGCACAAGGGAGCUUGACUGUGAGACCGACGGGUCGAGCAGGGACGAAAGUCGGGACUAGUGAUCCGGCGGUGGCUUGUGGAAGCGCCGUCGCUCAACGGAUAAAAGGUACCCCGGGGAUAACAGGCUGAUCUUCCCCAAGAGUCCAUAUCGACGGGAUGGUUUGGCACCUCGAUGUCGGCUCGUCGCAUCCUGGGGCUGGAGUCGGUCCCAAGGGUUGGGCUGUUCGCCCAUUAAAGCGGUACGCGAGCUGGGUUUAGAACGUCGUGAGACAGUUCGGUCCCUAUCCGCUGUGCGCGUAGGAGUCUUGAGAAGGGCUGUCCCUAGUACGAGAGGACCGGGACGGACGAACCUCUGGUGUGCCAGUUGUUCUGCCAAGGGCAUGGCUGGUUGGCUACGUUCGGGAGGGAUAACCGCUGAAAGCAUCUAAGCGGGAAGCCUGCUUCGAGAUGAGGACUCCCACCCACUUGAUGGGGUAAGGCUCCCAGUAGACGACUGGGUUGAUAGGCCGGAUCUGGAAGCACGGUAACGUGUGGAGGUGACCGGUACUAAUAGGCCGAGGGCUUGUCCA